rnacentral:rRNA from 1 species
GUAGGUGGCAAGCGUUGUCCGGAAUUAUUGGGCGUAAAGCGCGCGCAGGCGGGUUUUUAAGUCUGAUGUGAAAGCCCACGGGCUCAACCGUGGAGGGUCAUUGGAAACUGGAGAACUUGAGUACAGAAGAGGAAAGCGGAAUUCCACGUGUAGCGGUGAAAUGCGUAGAGAUGUGGCGGAACACCAGUGGCGAAGGCGGCUUUCUGGUCUGUAACUGACGCUGAGGCGCGAAAGCGUGGGGAGCAAACAGGAUUAGAUACCCUGGUAGUCCACGCCGUAAACGAUGAGUGCUAAGUGUUAGGGGGUUUCCGCCCCUUAGUGCUGCAGCUAACGCAUUAAGCACUCCGCCUGGGGAGUACGGCCGCAAAGGCUG